AUUGAACGCUGGCGGCAUGCCUUACACAUGCAAGUCGAACGGCAGCACGGGUGCUUGCACCUGGUGGCGAGUGGCGGACGGGUGAGUAAUACAUCGGAACGUGUCCAGAAGAGGGGGAUAACGCAUCGAAAGAUGUGCUAAUACCGCAUAUACUCUAAGGAGGAAAGCAGGGGAUCGAAAGACCUUGCGCUUUUGGAGCGGCCGAUGUCUGAUUAGCUAGUUGGUGGGGUAAGGGCCUACCAAGGCGACGAUCAGUAGUUGGUCUGAGAGGACGACCAGCCACACUGGGACUGAGACACGGCCCAGACUCCUACGGGAGGCAGUAGUGGGGGAAUUUUGGACAAUGGGCGCAAGCCUGAUCCAGCAAUGCCGUGUGAGUGAAGAAGGCCUCGGUUGU
rnacentral:rRNA from 1 species